CCUCCCGGCGGGAGGGGGCGGGGGGAUGGGGUCCUCCGGGCUGGGUGCGGAGGGUGGAGGGGAGCCACGGCCCUCGGGGUGGCGGGGCUCAGAGGGGUGCGGAUCCUGGCCAGCCGGGCGGACACUACCCGCCCCCAUGUCCUCACAGAGUCGGCACUCGGAGUGGGUGUCCUCUAGGGCCUCAUUCAUCGUGAGUGCCUCAUUUCAAGUAGCCACAUCCUGAGGUCCUGGGCCUUGCAAUCCCUGGGGACACGGUUCAGCCAUGACGGGCAGCACAUACGCCAAGUGCCCGCCAUGCCAGGCACUAAGGAUCAUGGGAUUUCCAUGACCAUCCCAUCAGGCCCAGGGCUCAUGGUCCAGCUCAGACCAGCCUCUGCCUCAGUAUGGAGGGAGCAUCACAGGCAGAGACCACAGCCCGGCCCCAGGACCAGGAGCUCGAGGCCGGGGGGGAGCCUGCUGCUCAAGCAGGCAUGGGAGGGCUGCUGUCCUGUGAUAGUUAAUUGAUUAUAUCCACUUGCGUAAAUAACCCAACUAAAUUGGCUCAGCAUAGUUCACCCUAGGGAAGAUUAUCACCAAAAUGGGUAUAAAAGGGAAACGAAGAAGGAAGGAUGGCUUCUGUGUCUUUGGAGAAGCUCAUCUUCAACUUCACCUUGGACGUCAUCUCCUGGCUUCUCACAGACCCUUCAGCCUCCUAACAUGGACUCGCGUGGGACACUACAGUGAGCACCAGCCUUUGACUGGAUCCUUCAGAUCUCCAGUGUGCAGACAGCCCCUUUCCACUCUUCCACGCCUGACUCUGUGGGUGGCCAUUUAUCUCCUACUGAAGGGGAACAGUUGUCACAGAAGAUGAACCUAUGUGAUGUGGCAUCUUCAUCCAGCAUCCACAGGCGACAUCGGGCCCACACUUCGUGUCUGACCCUGUGGACUGAUGACAUGUGUCCACUGUUGUGGUGUUGUGCCGAGGAGUUUCACUGCCUGGAAAGUCCCCUGUGCUCCACCUGGUCAUCCUCCCUCCUCGCUCUGUAACCACCCAUUAUUUUACCUUUUCCA
rnacentral:lncRNA from 1 species